AAAUGAGAGCGGAGUGGAGGGUGCCUGUUAACGGUACUCAGAGCCAAGUGGAGCGUCCCUGUUAACGGUCCUCAAAUGUCUUCCAGGGAGAACGGUCUUGUUUUUUAAAUAUUACCGUUAAAAAAAGCUGGAUUUCAUCCCUAUUUAUGGGCAUUUCAUAGGCCUUGAUUUUUGUUUGCUCAUUAUUUUUUUUCGCAAGGAAGCUGCAGUUCCACAAUUUAAGAAGUCGUUUCUGAGUUGUCCAUUUUGUUGGCCUUCACUAUCCUCAGCGAUGUUCAGCACGUGCUUUCAGGGAGGAGUUCAAGAAGAGCUAUAACGAGGCCGAUCCUAAAGCCAAGGGUAUUUCCUAGGUUGCCAAAAAUGGUGGUGAUAAAUGUUGUGGAUUUUGAUUCUUGUAUAAAUUUGUUUGCUUGUAAAUGCGAAGUGAUGGUGGCUAAUGAGCUGGAGGCUAGACAUGGCAAAGGAGGUAAAUUUUCAAUGGUUGUCUCUACAAUUAGUUGAACAAUGGUAGACCUUGUUUUUUCAUCGCUAGGAAGUUGUUCUGAUCUUCACGAGUAUUUCCACAUUUGUAGAAGUCAUUUCUAAGCUUUUCCAUUUUGCUGGCCUUUACCAUCCUCAACUGUAUUCAGCCUCUGCUUUCAGGGUUGGUUGCUGCUUAAUCAGGCUGUUUUGGUAGGUACCAUUUCUUUCCAGUAGAAUAGAUAAAUAUGAAAAUGAAAUGAAAUUCUUAUUAAAAGGAAGGAAACCAUGUGAAAUUUUGUAAUAUUCGUCUCAUUUGCAAGUCAAGCUAUCGCUCUCUAUAGACUACAAUAGUCAUUCAGUCCCUAAGUGCAAGAAAUAAAUUAUUGCAAUCUUAUGUGUUCGAGUUAUGCCUUGUGCUUUUCAUGGCAUCUGUAGCUCUAAAUUCCAUGAUGGUGCUUCAACAAAUCCAUUUACAAACUUGCCCAUCAUCUCCAAGUGAAUCCAUCAUUCAGUCUCUUUAUGAUGGUUUUUGUUCACUGUUUAUCAAAAAACUUUUAACGUUUAUUUUUCUUUGCCUUGUUUUAAAAGCAAUACAGAUUGCUUUUUGGAUUCUUUUUGUAACAGGACAGCAUUAUCCUUGUUUUAGUUCAUCUGUUUUAUCAUCAGUUAGGAUAUCUUAGAAGUAUUAUUUUAAGUGUGAUUGUAAAAAUCUUCUAU